GCAAGUGGCCCCUGCUGGAUACAAACUCUGUUCACAUCAGGAUGCUCCUGCCCGGGAGAAUGAAAUACCCUACAUCAGCAGGAGGGAAAUGUACACCAUGGAGAGAGAGGAGAAGAUGUGUCCUUUUAUUUCCAGCAAAAUGGUGCUGCUUUGAUUCGUUUCAGCAACCAGAAGUUAUGGAGGUGGAGAAGUCUCCUUGACUACUUAUUUCAACUCAGCCUUUGUAGUUUUGCUCAUUGUUUCUACCCAUCUGUAGAAAUAAUCUUCCUUAUGGGUUCAAUCACGCCCUGUGUGUUUUAACGAGCCCAGUGCCUGUUGUAGGGAGUGAUGCCAGGAGUAAUGAUCUUUAGCUAUUUCUAGGAGAGCAGCUUAGCAGGCCAUAUGUCAGAUUUCCCAGUGAGCGAUUGUUUUGAGUUGUUUUUACACCGUAGUUUCUAUUCAUGAGAUAUUAAAGAAAAUAACAGCAUCUGGUUAAUGAAAUCCCGAAUUUCACCAUAUGAUGAUGCGUAUCAAUCCUGUUCUGUGACUUCCCUUGAAGCAGAUUGUCAGGUCAUUGCGGGGAAUUUCUGUCUGUAGGUGAAUCAGACAUCCUAUACUUUGAUAUUUUAAAGGUGAAGAGCUAAGAGAUGACAACUUGAAAUUUGACAAGACCUGAGUUCAGCUCCUGAUGCCAAAACAGCCUGCACCACCCUUCUACCACACAGUUGAAGAGACAAAAGGCAGACAGGAGAGACAUACAAGCUAUGAUCCUACCUACACCCGGAGGAGUCAAAGCUCACGGAAAAGGAGACUGAAUUGUUUGAAUCUCUGGAUUUCUUGUUCUGCCUGUACAUUAAAAUCCCCAGAGAUUACUGAGCCCUGUUUCUGACCCUGUUACACAGAGCUGGUGCCUUGCUUCAACCAUGUUGUGAGGGCAGAAGAAACUGCAAACUCAGGCUUGGAUUGUUUGCAAACUGAUGCAAAAACCCUCUCAGUGGUGACCUGUUACCUGUAGUCUCUCACAGCUCCUCUGUGGCUGGCUCAGACCUCUUCUAAAUAAAGGUUUUACCAAAAUAAGCUAUUGCA
rnacentral:lncRNA from 1 species